GUGGGGAAUCUUGGACAAUGGGCGAAAUCCCGAUCCAGCAAUAUCACGUGAGUGAAGAAGGGAAAUGCCGCUUGUAAAGCUCUUUCGUCGAGUGCGCGAUCAUGACGGGACUCGAGGAAGAAGCCCCGGCUAACUCCGUGCCA
rnacentral:rRNA from 1 species